CAGACUAGGGCCGGAUUGGUAAGGCGCUCCCUUUGGGAGGGAGAGAUAUUGCGUUCGACCCGCAAUAGUCUGA
rnacentral:tRNA from 1 species